UGGGGAAUAUUGCACAAUGGGCGCAAGCCUGAUGCAGCCAUGCCGCGUGUGUGAAGAAGGCCUUCGGGUUGUAAAGCAACUUUCAGCGAGGAGGAAGGUGGUGAACUUAAUACGUUCAUCAAUUGACGUUACUCGCAGAAGAAGCACCGGCUAACUCCGUGCCAGCAGCCGCGGUAAUACGGAGGGUGCAAGCGUUAAAUCGGAAUUACUGGGCGUAAAAGCGCACGCAGGCGGUUUGUUAAGUCAGAUGUGAAAUCCCCGGGCUCAACCUGGGAACUGCAUUUGAAAACUGGCAAGCUAGAGUCUCGUAGAGGGGGGUAGAAAUUCCAGGUGUAGCGGUGAAAAUGCGUAGAGAUCUGGAGGAAUACCGGUGGCGAAAGGCGGCCCCCUGGACGAAGACUGACGCUCAGGUGCGAAAAGCGUGGGGAGCAAAACAGGAUUAGAUAACCCUGGUAGUCCACGCUGUAAAACGAUGUCGAAUUUUGGAGGUUGUGCCCUUGAGGCGUGGCUUCCGGAGCUAAACGCGUUAAAAUCGACCGCC
rnacentral:rRNA from 1 species